ACAUGCAAGUCGUACGAGAGUUUUUAACUCUAGUGGCGGACGGGUGAGUAACACGUGAGAAUUUGCCUUUAGGAGGGGGAUAACAAUCGGAAACGAAUGCUAAUACCCCAUAUGCUUUUGAGUGAAAUGGAUUUAUCCGCCUAAAGAGAAGCUCGCGGCUGAUUAGCUUGUUGGUGAGGUAAGAGCUUACCAAGGCGACGAUCAGUAUCUGGUUUGAGAGGACGAUCAGACACACUGGAACUGAGACACGGUCCAGACUCCUACGGGAGGCAGCAGUGGGGAAUUUUCCGCAAUGGGCGAAAGCCUGACGGAGCAAUACCGCGUGAGGGAAGACUGCCUAUGGGUUGUAAACCUCUUUUUUCAGGGAGGAACAAAAUGACGUGUACCUGAAGAAUAAGCAUCGGCUAACUCCGUGCCAGCAGCCGCGGUAAGACGGAGGAUGCAAGUGUUAUCCGGAAUCACUGGGCGUAAAGCGUCUGUAGGUGGUUUAAUAAGUCAACUGUUAAAUCUUGAGGCUCAACUUCAAAAUCGCAGUCGAAACUAUUAGACUAGAGUAUAGUAGAGGUAAAGGGAAUUUCCAGUGGAGCGGUGAAAUGCGUAGAUAUUGGAAAGAACACCGAUGGCGAAAGCACUUUACUGGGCUAUUACUAACACUCAGAGACGAAAGCUAGGGUAGCAAAUGGGAUUAGAUACCCCAGUAGUCCUAGCCGUAAACUAUGGAUACUAGAUGUUGAACAGAUCGACCUGUGCAGUAUCAAAGCUAACGCGUUAAGUAUCCCGCCUGGGAAGUAUGCUCGCAAGAGUGAAACUCAAAUGAAUUGACGG
rnacentral:rRNA from 1 species